CUGCGCCAGAUCCUGUUCUCGGCGCCAUUUUGUCUCGGCAGCAGUGGCGGUAGCUCUUUCCCAUUUUAAGCUUCGCGAGGAGGGGAGCUGAGUCUUUACCCGGUUGAUUCGUUCUCGUGGACCAGGCGUUCACCUUCCGUCCCCAGUGAUAGCACAUUCUGCUGUAAGGAUCUGUAGAUUGGGUGAACUUCAGAAAGUCAUUCCACGUUGUUGGAGAGAUUUUGUUUCCUAAAAUGCCAGAACAACUGUGAGCUUUUUUUAAUGUGAAGAACAUGAAAACAGAAAUUAUAGUGGAGCAGCAAAGCCAACAGAACCAGAUUUUGAAUCUGUUGAAUGACCAGUCAUUGAAGAAAACCAUCAUGUUUUUUAAAGGAAGAAAUAGAUAAUCUUGUACAAAUGUUUAAAGAAAUAGAUAAUUUUGUACUUUUGAGAUGUUUUCAGAAAAGUAUGAAGGCUUGAAAUGAAAGAAAAUAAAUUUAAGAUGUAAGCCUUGUUCAACAGUUCAGCAUUUAGGAGUGACAGCAGGAAAGCAUGGGUAUCCUAGGAAUGGAGUGUAUAUUUAGCAAUUCCACAAGGCACAAUUAACUUAGGCAAGCUUCUCUGUGGGGGGGAAAAAUUGGGGAGCACACUAUUUCUAAAGCCCCUACUAAAAGAUUAAUGAAAAGAUUCAAGUUUUUUAGUACUAUUUACAAUGUACUAAAACGUAAUAGAUCUUUAAUAUUGAGGGAGCAAUGGAAUUGCAAGAAAAAAUAAAUAUAAUACAACAAGAAUAGACAGGUGCCACAGUGGAUAGAGCACUGGAUCUGGAGUUAGGAA